UGUGGACCUCACAAACCACACUGCUUUCUAACCAUGCAAUUUAAGCAAAUUCCUUCCCUUCUCUAAAUAAAUGUGAGUUUAUCUGCAAAAAAAAAAAAAUUUUGUCUCCAGUGUCUAAUCUCAUCAUAAUCAAAUGGCCACCUUUGACCUGGAUCUGUGGUAAGGAUCUGAUUCACCUGAUCUCACUGAAUCCCCAUCAC
rfam:Erinaceus europaeus unplaced genomic scaffold scaffold00156, whole genome shotgun sequence